rnacentral:rRNA from 1 species
AUUGAACGCUGGCGGCAGGCCUAACACAUGCAAGUCGAGCGGAGCAGCGGACGGGGGAGUAAGGCCUAGGAAUCUGACUGGUAGUGGGGGAUAGCGUCAGGAAACGGGCGCUAAUACCGCAUACUCUCAGAUGAGCCUAGGUCGGAUUAGCUAGUUGGUGGGGUAAAGGCCUACCAAGGCGACGAUCCGUAACUGGUCUGAGAGGAUGAUCAGUCACACUGGAACUGAGACACGGUCCAGACUCCUACGGGAGGCAGCAGUGGGGAAUAUUGGACAAUGGGCGAAAGCCUGAUCCAGCCAUGCCGCGUGUAUGAAGAAGGUCUUCGGAUUGUAAAGCACUUUAAGUUGGGAGGCGUUACCAACAGAAUAAGCACCGGCUAACUUCGUGCCAGCAGCCGCGGUAAUUC